rnacentral:rRNA from 1 species
UACACUCCUACGGGAGGCAGCAGUGGGGAAUUUUGGACAAUGGGCGAAAGCCUGAUCCAGCCAUGCCGCGUGCAGGAUGAAGGCCUUCGGGUUGUAAACUGCUUUUGUACGGAACGAAACGGCCUUUUCUAAUAAAGAGGGCUAAUGACGGUACCGUAAGAAUAAGCACCGGCUAACUACGUGCCAGCAGCCGCGGUAAUACGUAGGGUGCAAGCGUUAAUCGGAAUUACUGGGCGUAAAGCGUGCGCAGGCGGUUAUGUAAGACAGUUGUGAAAUCCCCGGGCUCAACCUGGGAACUGCAUCUGUGACUGCAUAGCUAGAGUACGGUAGAGGGGGAUGGAAUUCCGCGUGUAGCAGUGAAAUGCGUAGAUAUGCGGAGGAACACCGAUGGCGAAGGCAAUCCCCUGGACCUGUACUGACGCUCAUGCACGAAAGCGUGGGGAGCAAACAGGAUUAGAAACCCCAGUAGUCC